rnacentral:rRNA from 1 species
AUUGAACGCUGGCGGCAUGCUUUACACAUGCAAGUCGAACGGUAACAGGGAGCUUGCUCCGCUGACGAGUGGCGAACGGGUGAGUAAUGCGUCGGAACGUGCCGAGUAGUGGGGGAUAACGCAUCGAAAGGUGUGCUAAUACCGCAUACGUACUGAGGUAGAAAGUGGGGGACCUUCGGGCCUCACGCUAUUCGAGCGGCCGACGUCUGAUUAGCUAGUUGGUGAGGUAAAGGCUCACCAAGGCGACGAUCAGUAGCGGGUCUGAGAGGAUGAUCCGCCACACUAGGACUGGGACACGGCCCAGACUCCUACGGGAGUCAGCAGUGGGGAAUUUUGGACAAUGGGCGCAAGCCUGAUCCAGCCAUGCCGCGUGUCUGAAGAAGGCCUUCGGGUUGUAAAGGACUUUUGUCCGGGAGCAAAUGCCUGGUGUUAAUAGCACUGGGAGCUGAGAGUACCGGAAGAAUAAGCACCGGCUAACUACGUGCCAGCCGCCGCCGUAACAC